rnacentral:rRNA from 1 species
AACGAACGCUGGCGGCAUGCCUAACACAUGCAAGUCGAACGAGACCUUCGGGUCUAGUGGCGCACGGGUGCGUAACGCGUGGGAACCUGCCCUUAGGUUCGGAAUAACUCCCGAAAGGGGUUCUAAUACCGGAUAAUGUUUUCGGACCAAAGAUUUAUCGCCUUUGGAUGGGCCCGCGUUGGAUUAGCUAGUUGGUAGGGUAAAAGCCUACCAAGGCGACGAUCCAUAGCUGGUCUGAGAGGAUGAUCAGCCACACUGGGACUGAGACACGGCCCAGACUCCUACGGGAGGCAGCAGUGGGGAAUAUUGGACAAUGGGCGAAAGCCUGAUCCAGCAAUGCCGCGUGAGUGAUGAAGGCCUUAGGGUUGUAAAGCUCUUUUACCCGGGAUGAUAAUGACAGUACCGGGAGAAUAAGCUCCGGCUAACUCCGUG